UUUAUACUCCCUCCGUCCCAAAAUAUAAGCAAUUUUAGCUAUAAAUCUGGAUAAUUUUUUAUCCAGAUUCAUAGCUAAAAUUAUCCAGAUUCAUAGCUAAAAUUGCUUAUAUUUUGGGACGGAGGGAGUAGUAA
rfam:Oryza meridionalis cultivar OR44 (W2112) chromosome 2, whole genome shotgun sequence.